CUAGCAAAUUAGCAGCAUAGUAUACUGCUUGUGUUGCUGUUCUCUAGCUAAUUGUUCCCGGCAGUUGAGCUAUCUGAGACCUUGGGGGUUUGGCAUGCAUGUCGAUGGUUGUUGGAUGAACGGGUCCCAGCCUCACGGGAAGCAAUGUUGCAAUACUUCUAUUGAGGAACUCCUGUUUUCGCGGGUGCAUUGAUGGAUGCCCUCCAUGUCCACGAACAUGUUCAGUUCCGAAAUUUGGACAUUAUAUAUAUACAUUUAUCACGCAGUUCUCUCUGAAAUUAAAUUUGAGGUGAUGAUUCGGAAAUUUGUGUUAUGGUUGCAUUUCAGUAUCAAUCAAUUUGAGAGGAGACCCUUGUGAGCUGGACAGUGGUCGUCCGUUGAUGCACGAUUCUCCAGGAUACACAUCUGUUUUUCUUAUGAUCAACAUUCAACUGGACAAGGAGUUGAACGCUGCUUCUCGGUCUUGGUCCCCUUACCUGUAGGGUAUGAGAAGGCGCCAUCGCUUUUGUUUGGAUCCAAGGGGAGGGUUCUUCCGAUCGAGCCUCACAAAAUCACCUUGUGUCAAGUGCUUAGGAUGCUGACAAAUGACAAUGACUGCCAUCAAGCGGAAACUAGGCAGAGUACUGAUGAUGAUGGCGUCUAAUGGAGAGUGCGAGGCACAUGCAAAUGUGCAAUGGAGGUGGUGUGAAAACACAAUGAUGCCAUGCAUGAUGGACCUAUUUUAUUCUACUUGUUGCGCCCUUUCUUGAUGCCCUUUAAUUUGCAGUUGACACAGAUGAGCAGCACACUCACUCGAUCCAUGGAUAAGUAAAGGCAAAAUUAUAGAGAGAGAGAGUUGCAACUGCAUGCGAAAAUACGACAUGACAGUAUAAUACUUCAUCCGUCCAAAAAUAUAAGGGAUUUUGAGUUUUUUGUUUGCACUGUUUGACCACUCAUCUUAUUUAGAAAAUUUAUGUAAAUAUAAAAAACAAAAAGUUAUGCUUAAAAUAUUUUAGAUAAUAAAGCGAGUCAAAAAAAUAAAUAAUAACUUUAUUUUUUUUAAUAAAACGAGUGAUCAAAUAGUGCAAACAAAAACUCACGAACGGGGCGAGUAUGCUGCAGCGAAAAAGUUUGCACGAUACGAGGGUAAACGUGGGCAGGGAGGGGGUGAUGACUGAUGAGAUGAGACCUCGCGUGUGCCUGAUCCUGACCAGGGCAGAUUUUGCGACUGUUUCGUUGUUAUCAUUAGACGUCGUUCCACUUUUAGCUAGGGCCGGACGGUAAUCAGGUCAGAAGCGUUGCACCAAACCUAGGAAUUCCAGGCCACUUCUCGCAGCCACCCAGGAACAACUUGACUUCUUUUUUUUUUUCUUUUUCUUUUGCCCCUACUAGAAAUGGAACGACUUGACAUAUCGCGAUAGAAAUGUUUUUUUAAGAACUGAUAGAAAUGGAUAUGGAUGAAUUUAGGUUGCGUUUAGUUAUAGGGGUGUAAAGUUUUAACGUGUCACAUCGGGUACGCCGGUACAAAUUAGUCGGAAUAUGUGCAAUUAGUUAUUUUUUAGCCUAUAUUUAAUACUCCAGACGUGUUUCCAAAUAUUCUGUAAAUAUUCGAUAUGACAUGGUGUAAAGUUUUGCUAGGGGAAGUAAACGGGGCCUUACUGUGCUAUGUAACGUGGGUUGCUGAUAUUUGAUGUGAGAUAGUAUGUCAGAGGAUCUGUUUUCGAUGAGCAUUCUUCACAUUUCCCACACAUAACAAUACAAGAGAAACACUCGAAUGCUAUAGACUUUAACAAGUCUUAAUGUAAUUAUCUACUAUUUAAAUAAACUUUAAUGUAUUUAUCAAUCAUUUUCAAAAACUACAAUAUAAUGAUUGCUUAAAAGAUGAAAUUAUUUUGAGACAAAUAAUAUGAUGAAAAUAUAUUUAUGUUAGGACGGAGGAAGUAUUGAAUAGAAAAAAUGUUAUACGUACAAAGUUAUUCACACAAAACUUUUAUGAACGUUGAUGUGGCAAGAUGGGAGUAAAUAUAAGAUUUUCUGUAACUUUUACAGUUCGAUAGUUAACAGCUAUAUUUGAAAGAUUUUUUUAAGUACGCUUGACACGCUCUAUCAAAGAAGGCAUCGCAACGCUUUGCGAAAGAGAGAGAAGCCAUGAAACCUUUUGUUGCAAUGUUGUUGAGCCGUAGAGUUGACCACGAAAAUCCAUUCCUAAGCCCACCCGAUGCCACAGAACGCGUCUCCACAAUUUGGGCUGGAUUGUGAUACCUGUAUC